UAAUACGGAGGGUGCAAGCGUUAUCCGGAAUCACUGGGUUUAAAGGGUGCGUAGGUGGUAUCGUAAGUCAGAAGUGAAAGUUUGCGGCUUAACCGUAAAAUUGCUUUUGAUACUGCAAUACUUGAAUCAGGUUGAGGUUGGCGGAAUGUGGCAUGUAGCGGUGAAAUGCUUAGAUAUGCCAUAGAACACCGAUUGCGAAGGCAGCUGACUGGACCUGUAUUGACGCUGAGGCACGAAAGCGUGGGGAGCGAACAGGAUUAGAUACCCUGGUAGUCCACGCCCUAAACGAUGCUCACUCGAUGUGUGGCCUUCGGGUCGCGCAUCCAAGCGAAAGCGUUAAGUGAGCCACCUGGGGAGUACGUUCGCAAGAAUG
rnacentral:rRNA from 1 species